UACAGAGGCCCCGAGCGUUAGGCGGAAUCACUGGGCUUAAAGCGUGUGUAGGCGGACGCCUAAGUGUCUUGUGAAAUCCCCCGGCUCACCCGGGGAACUGCUGGGCAUACUGGGCGUCUUGGGCCAACUAGGGGCAACUGGAACAAGCGGUGGAGCGGUGAAAUGCGUAGAUAUCGCUUGGAACGCCGAAGGUGAAAACAGGUUGCUGGGGUUGUGCCGACGCUGAGACACGAAAGCCAGGGGAGCAAACGGG
rnacentral:rRNA from 1 species